AGAGUUUGAUCCUGGCUCAGAACGAACGUUGGCGGCGUGCUUAACACAUGCAAGUCGAACGAGAACGGUUCCUUCGGGAACUCAGUAAAGUGGCGCACGGGUGAGUAACGCGUAAGUAAUCUACCUUUGCAUCUGGGACAACUACGGGAAACUGUAGCUAAUACCGGAUACGUUCUCCUUUCUACGGAUUGGAGAAGAAAGAUGGCCUCUUCUUGAAAGCUAUCGUGCAAAGAGGAGCUUGCGUACCAUUAGCUAGUUGGUAGGGUAAUGGCCUACCAAGGCAACGAUGGUUAGCGGGUCUGAGAGGAUGAUCCGCCACACUGGAACUGAAACACGGACCAGACUCCUACGGGAGGCAGCAGUGAGGAAUAUUGCGCAAUGGGGGAAACCCUGACGCAGCGACGCCGCGUGGAUGAUGAAGGCCUUCGGGUCGUAAAAUCCUGUCAGAUGGGAAGAAAUGUAUAUAGGCUAAUACCCUUUAUGCUUGACGGUACCAUCAAAGGAAGCACCGGCUAACUCCGUGCCAGCAGCCGCGGUAAUACGGAGGGUGCAAACGUUGUUCGGAAUUACUGGGCGUAAAGCGCGCGUAGGCGGUUUGUUAAGUCAG
rnacentral:rRNA from 1 species